rnacentral:rRNA from 1 species
UGGAUCCAGACUUUGAUUCUGGCUCAGGAUAAACGCUGGCGGCGCACAUAAGACAUGCAAGUCGAACGAACUUAACCUAUAGUUUACUAUUGGAGCGGUUAGUGGCGGACUGGUGAGUAACGCGUAAGCAAUCUGCCUAUCAGAGGGGAAUAACAGUGAGAAAUCACUGCUAAUACCGCAUAAGCUGUGAGUAUCGCAUGAUACAAAUAGAAAAGGAGCAAUCUGCUGAUAGAUGAGCUUGCGUCUGAUUAGUUAGUUGGUGAGGUAAAGGCCCACCAAGACGAUGAUCAGUAGCCGGACUGAGAGGUUGAACGGCCACAUUGGGACUGAGAUACGGCCCAGACUCCUACGGGAGGCAGCAGUCGGGAAUAUUGCGCAAUGGAGGAAACUCUGACGCAGUGACGCCGCGUGCAGGAAGAAGGUUUUCGGAUUGUAAACUGCUUUAGACAGGGAAGAAAAAAUGACAGUACCUGUAGAAUAAGCUCCGGCUAACUACGUGCCAGCAGCCGCGGUAAUACGUAGGGAGCGAGCGUUAUCCGGAUUUAUUGGGUGUAAAGGGUGCGUAGACGGGUAGACAAGUUAGUUGUAAAAUACCUCGGCUUAACUGAGGAACUGCAACUAAAACUAUCAGUCUUGAGUGCUGGAGGGGGAAGCGGAAUUCCUAGUGUAGCGGUGAAAUGCGUAGAUAUUAGGAAGAACACCGGUGGCGAAGGCGGCUUUCUGGACAGUAACUGACGUUGAGGCACGAAAGUGUGGGGAGCAAACAGGAUUAGAUACCCUGGUAGUCCACACCGUAAACGAUGGAUACUAGGUGUAGGUGGUGAUGAACCAUCUGUGCCGUCGCAAACGCAGUAAGUAUCCCACCUGGGGAGUACGGCCGCAAGGUUGCAACUCAAAGGAA